UCACAUCCCCCUUCAUCUUCUGUGUCUGGCAAGUAAAAUGUCAACAAAAACAUUGGAGUGCAGGUGUACUCAAGUGGGUUCGGAAUAAGCAAACAAGAUCACCCAGGUCUGGACACCAAUACGGUCCAAACUCUCUUAUGUUUAUGUUGUAGGAAUUUACUUUUAUCAACUGUUGUGAUUGAGGUCUCUGGAGCAAAUGGCGCAUCCAACUUGGAUAACCACUACUGUAUCAAGUUUGUGUAGUGUUGCCUAUUAAAAUAAGAUUAGUUAGAUGGGAUGUUCCCUUUAUAGUCUCCUUAACAAGCAACAAACAGAUGCCUAAGGCACCCAGCCCUGCCUAUGAGAGAGAGUGCACCUUAAAUCAUCGCUUUGAAUAUGUAUUUAGGAUACUAACUUCUUUGCGGCUCAGUGUCUUGCAAAGAUGAGCCCCUAACAGAGCUGUUAAAUGGGCUCAGCUACAAGAGUUGUUGCAAGUGUGCACCUGUCUAGUAACAGCAAGUUAAAAGAUAAGUGCUUGAAUAAAUCAGUCAACAGGUUUUAUGAAAGACUUGGGAGGAGAAGAGAGGACAGCAGAAAGUAGUUGUAAUGCUAAUCAAAAAUGAAAGAUAUCCUAAAAGCAUGUGAGAACAGGCAAAUAUUAGCAGGUGUUGCAAAUGUCCAGGCUUAAAGCAGAGUUUGAACCACACUGGGUAAAACUACUUUGAUAUGGGUUAAAAUGCACUAAAGAUGCUAGUUCAGCCGUGUAGUUUUAGUGAAAGAAAUUAUAAUUUAGGGAUGGGUGGAAUACCUUAGACUGUGAAGUCUGUCUUGGUUUUCUUUAAUAGAGAUUUUUCUUUCCAGGUCUACCCUGGGCACCCUAACCUACUUAAGCUAUGUAUGCACUUGAGUGUUCCUGCUUUGAUUUUUUUUUUCCUGAGGCAAAAUCCAGGUCUUAAGCCACCUCUCACAACACGUCUAUCAAUGUAAGUUUUCUCAGUGACCAUUUCCAUUGUAUUUCAGACCAUCAGGAGCAGUUUCCAAGGAGACUACCUCCUUGUGGGCUGAAUCUUCAGCAGGUGCAUAUUAGCUCAUUUCCAGCGAAGUCUGCAGGCAGAAAGACAACUUUUCACAGACCUGUCUUACCACCUACUUCCUGUUUUAUUCUUUCAUGGAUGCAACUUUCCCUGCAGGAAGAAGGUAAGAAAUAUAUAUAUUUUUUAAGCAGCAGGUUGUCGUUGUAUAAUGUCACAUAAUUAAACUGGAAACUUAGUGUGAUUUUUGAAUUAAUAAUCCAGAAGCUAAAAUGUUGAAAAGGUUGACUGGUUAAAAAACAAAACAAAACAAACAAACAAAAACUUUAAAUGGCAGAGACUUAUCAUGAAUCUUACCCUUUAAAAUAAAAUAUUUGUGCUGUAGAUAAGUUAUACUGUG
rnacentral:lncRNA from 1 species